rnacentral:rRNA from 1 species
CGUUCGGAAUGAGUACGAUUCGAAACCACCUAACGAGGAACGAUCGGAGGGCAAGUCUGGUGCCAGCAGCCGCGGUAAUUCCAGCUCCAAUAGCGUACGUUAAAGUUGCUGCAGUUAAAAAGCUCGUAGUUGAACGUUCGGGUUCCGCGGGACGGGGCCGCCCCGCGAGGGACGGCGCCGCCCCGGGGCUCGUGAUAUCUCAUCUCGCCGCCCGUCGCGAGGCGGACGGAGGGAUGGAUGAGGUUACCUGGAAAAAAUCGGGGCGAUCUAGGCGGGCGAACCUCGCCAACGAACGAUCGGACAUGGGAUAACGGAAGAGGGCGUCGGCUCGACUUCGUCGGUUCCUCGGGCCGAGGCACGUACGGUGAAUAGGGACGGUCGGGGCCGCCCGUACCGGGUCGUGAGAGGUGAAAUUCUAGGAUCGACCCGAGACGAACCGCCGCGAAAGCAUUCGGCAAGGACGCUUUCAUUAAUCAAGAACGAAAGUCGGGGGAUCGAAGACGAUCAGAUACCGUCGUAGUCCCGACCGUAAACGAUGCCGACCC